GAAAAACCAAGUUUGGCUCGGCUAAUGAAAGUUCCAUGGGACUUCUUGAAAAACUUAGAUGAGAAAGAUUGCGCUAUCCGAACAGAACCCUUAAGCAGUUCACAGCAAAAUAAAGCAGAUUAUGAUUUUGAAGAAUGCAAUGAAUCCCUUCCUAAGCCUUUGUUCCAAGUCAAAACCUUCCCUCAUUCUGUCCAUUCCUCACCUGGCUCCUUUUCCAAAUGUUCCCAGAGAACAUUGCAUUCUAAACAGGAGAAACCUUCAAAAGAUGAAGAAGGUGGUGAACAGGAUUUUGCCAAUAAAAAAAGUAUUGUUUGUAGGCAGUCUUCAAAUAUCUCACCAAAAGCUAAAUCAGCUUUGGGCGAGGACAAAGAUGAAGAGGUCAAGUGUACAGAAUCUCCAUGGGAUUCAGAAGUAGGUUUUAAAAUUUUCUGUGCUCUGAGUU
rnacentral:lncRNA from 1 species